UACGAAGGGGGCUAGCGUUGCUCGGAGUCACUGGGCGUAAAGGGUGCGUAGGCGGGUCUUUAAGUCAGGGGUGAAAUCCUGGAGCUCAACUCCAGAACUGCCUUUGAUACUGAAGAUCUUGAGUUCGGGAGAGGUGAGUGGAACUGCGAGUGUAGAGGUGAAAUUCGUAGAUAUUCGCAAGAACACCAGUGGCGAAGGCGGCUCACUGGCCUGAUACUGACGCUGAGGCACGAAAGCGUGGGGAGCAAACAGG
rnacentral:rRNA from 1 species